rnacentral:lncRNA from 1 species
GUGCUGAUAAAUGUCUCAUAACAUUGCAUCUUAUCUUCUCUUUCCAGGUCAUUGUUCAAAGGAUUACCCGCAACUUUGUUGCAUAUUGUGCUGAAGAUUGAUUGGCCAACCCUCUUUAUUUGAAGGACGACAUUCUUUAAACGACAAGUGGACCGAGCUACGACAAAGGUCUGAGUUCAGAGGACGACAGCGAGCUGGCAACAGACGGGAGCCAAAGCCCGCACUUCAUGCCAAGCAUCCCC